AUUGAACGCUGGCGGCAUGCCUUACACAUGCAAGUCGAACGGUAACGGGCCUUCGGGUGCCGACGAGUGGCGAACGGGUGAGUAACAUAUCGGAACGUACCUUUCAGUGGGGGAUAACGUAGCGAAAGUUACGCUAAUACCGCAUAUUCUGUGCGCAGGAAAGCAGGGGACCUUCGGGCCUUGCGCUGAUUGAGCGGCCGAUAUCAGAUUAGCUAGUUGGUGAGGUAAAGGCUCACCAAGGCGACGAUCUGUAGCGGGUCUGAGAGGAUGAUCCGGCACACUGGAACUGAGACACGGUCCAGACUCCUACGGGAGGCAGCAGUGGGGAAUUUUGGACAAUGGGGGUAACCCUGAUCCAGCCAUGCCGCGAGAGUGAAGAAGGCCUUCGGGUUGUAAAGCUCUUUCGGCCGGGAAGAAAUCGCACGGGCUAAUACCCUGUGUGGAUGACGGUACCGGAAUAAGAAGCACCGGCUAACUACGUGCCAGCCGCCGCCGUAACAC
rnacentral:rRNA from 1 species